AUCUUAGACAGCCAUGACCAGAGCUUCGUGAAUGUGUCAAGUGGCAAUUUGACUGCUUUUACGUAUGACAUCAGCUGGCUCCAAGUUCAAAACUUCUGCAGAACGGAUGACGAAGAGCAACACGUUAAAAUGACUGCCACUAUUGAAACAGUGAUGUCAGAUAUCAAAACGAAAGCAAUACGGGAGCUUCAGCUGGAG